AUUGAACGCUGGCGGCAGGCCUAACACAUGCAAGUCGAGCGGAUGAAGAGAGCUUGCUCUCUGAUUCAGCGGCGGACGGGUGAGUAAUGCCUAGGAAUCUGCCUGGUAGUGGGGGACAACGUUUCGAAAGGAACGCUAAUACCGCAUACGUCCUACGGGAGAAAGCAGGGGACCUUCGGGCCUUGCGCUAUCAGAUGAGCCUAGGUCGGAUUAGCUAGUAGGUGAGGUAAUGGCUCACCUAGGCGACGAUCCGUAACUGGUCUGAGGGGAUGGUCAGUCACACUGGAACUGAGACACGGUCCAGACUCCUACGGGAGGCAGUAGUGGGGAAUAUUGGACAAUGGGCGAAAGCCUGAUCCAGCCAUGCCGCGUGUGUGAAGAAGGUCUUCGGAUUGUAAAGCACUUUAAGUUGGGAGGAAGGGCAGUAAGUUAAUACCUUGCUGUUUUGACGUUACCAACAGAAUAAGCACCGGCUAACUUCGUGCCAGCAGCCGCAGUAAUAC
rnacentral:rRNA from 1 species